GCUAUUUGCUGACGACCGGCGCACGGGUGCGGAACGCGUAUGGAACCUGCCCCUGUCAGGGGAAUAGCCCAGAGAAAUUUGGAUUAAUGCCCCAUGGUAACAUUUUAUCGCAUGAUAUUGUGUUUAAAGAUUUAUCGGACAGGGAUGGCCAUGCGUACCAUUAGCUUGUUGGUGGGGUAACGGCCCACCAAGGCAACGAUGGUUAGGGGCCCUGAGAGGGGGAUCCCCCACACUGGUACUGAGACACGGACCAGACUCCUACGGGAGGCAGCAGUGAGGAAUAUUGGACAAUGGCCGGAAGGUUGAUCCAGCCAUGCCGCGUGCAGGACGACUGCCCUAUGGGUUGUAAACUGCUUUUAUACGGGAAGAAACCUCCCCUCGUGAGGGGAGCUGACGGUACCGUAAGAAUAAGGACCGGCUAACUCCGUGCCAGCAGCCGCGGUAAUACGGAGGGUCCGAGCGUUAUCCGGAAUCAUUGGGUUUAAAGGGUCCGUAGGCGGGCCUGUAAGUCAGGGGUGAAAGGCCACGGCUCAACCGUGGGACUGCCCUUGAUACUGCAGGUCUUGAGUUAUGGUGGGGUUGCCGGAACAUGUGGUGUAGCGGUGAAAUGCAUAGAUAUCACAUAGAACACCGAUCGCGAAGGCAGGUGACCAACCAUAUACUGACGCUGAUGGACGAAAGCGUGGGUAGCGAACGGGAUUAGAUACCCCGGUAGUCCACGCCGUAAACGAUGGAUACUAGCUGUCGGGACUUCGGUCUCGGCGGCCAAGCGAAAGUGAUAAGUAUCCCACCUGGGGAGUACGUUCGCAAGAAUGAAACUCAAAGGAAUUGACGGGGGCCCGCACAAGCGGUGGAGCAUGUGGUUUAAUUCGAUGAUACGCGAGGAACCUUACCAGGGCUUAAAUGCGGGCUGCAU
rnacentral:rRNA from 1 species